ACCACUCUUUUUCCCAAUAUUUGACGGGUUUAAAUUAAAGGGGAGAAGCCAUUUAUUUACCACUGUAUCUGUUUAAGUGGAGGUAGCUGCCCCAUUUGCUCAUUUUUAGCGUUGCCUUUUCCAGCAUGUCCUGGGGUGACUUUAUGAUACCGGUAUCCCCAAUUGUCUGGUUUAUGUUAAAUAUUAAGUUCUGCACCUUUAAGACCGGCUCCGAAAGCGAGAGCGGGGGGAAGAAGCAGCACGCCGUUUGCAUUAAGGAACAAACAUCACUCCCACAUAUCUCGCUCCUGGACUGUGGUGUCUGCAGCACGGACAGACAGUGGGACAGAGCUUCUCUCUGGCUUUUAGUUGGUUUUAGCUAGCUGAGGCAGAGGAGUUCCCUGGACCUUUGGUUUUUUUUUCCUUUUUUUGUUUCCUUGGAUCUGUGCAAACCUGCUCCGGACCGAACACCCGGCCAAACCCCGGGAGCUCACGCCUUUGGCCCACCGGGGCCCGGGCCUCGGCACUUUUCAGCGCCGGAAGGACCGAUAAGAACCCGAGCGAGGCGAGCUACACCACAUGAAAAGGACUUUUCUUCCUAGACUUGCCAUCCCAUCGAACAGUGAGAGGUUUUAUUAUUUCAUAUUAUUCAAUUUCUGUUAAAUAAACAGCUUUUUCCACUUCUUUCCAAGGAAUUUUUUUUUUCCUUUCCCGGACCAGUUGGUACGGAGGGGGCAUUUCCCUGGGGAAACCCCCAUUUGGAGUUUUCCUCCCUAAUUUGCCCUAAACUAGGACACAGCAUUUCAAGGGUUUAAAGCUGCAUUUCAGGGUACUUCUACCCACGCCGUGGCACCAAAUAUUUCCAACAGGAGCGAGCCAAGCAGGAGGAUUGCAGUUUCCUGAAGUUCUAGGUCACGUCAAGUGCGAUACUUCAGAUUCUCUCAGCAGAUUCAUCGUGACACAAAAGGGAACGGCUGCGGCAGCUUUCCUUAGCAGCAGAUCGCUCUCUCCGAUGGAUUCGCUUCGGAGAGAUAAGUCGAGGGCUGUGGUCACAGAGGGGAUCAAAGCAGGGUAGUGGGUUAGGAUUCACACCGGUUAGGGUUUUGAGUCAGCUAUGGGAAGGGGGAGGUUUGAGAACUGGCCUCUGGGGCCACCGUGAGGGAAAGGCUCACUUUGGCUAACAAUGCUGAGGCGGGCAGGGCAGAGCAGUCCCAAGGUGUGUUGUCACUUGUCUGUCGUGCUUUCUGUGUCUUCCGUUCAUCUCGUGUAACAUGUCUCUUGCCUUAGUCCUCCCAGGAGCUUAUGAGAAACCCCAGGUCCUUCCGGUCAUCUCCCAUCUUUCAUUCCUCGGCCCGGGGCCGACGCCGGCGAAGUUUCGAUUCGGGAGGUCAGACAGGCGUCAGAAUCGCAUCUCUCUUCAGAAGCAUCCGAUCGGAUGUCUUCUUAGGUCUUGUUCUCAGCUGUGUUGACAGCUGUAUGCAGUAAUCUUUCUUUACAGUGGAUAAGGACUUGUGCCGAUUCAAAGGCAGGCAGAGGCUUCCGGCCAUAGGAUUCUCAGGCAUCCGUGUCCGCGGUUCUCGGAAUAAGUCGUUCCGUUAGCAUCUUUUUCCUCCGGGGUCAUCCGAGCCCGGCGGGCUCGCCUUCGGUCCCCCCUCGGUCAUCUUGUUCAGCAUUCUCUCGGUCCUCGUGAGGACUUGCUCGUCUCAGAGUUGUCUCUCCCUGUCGUGUCCCCUCGUGUCACGGGUGUCUGGGGGUAUUCGGUCCGGAACUGCUCUGCCCUGCCGCCCGGCCCCGUUGCAGGUGUUCAAGGACAAGUCCCGGGCACUUGUAAUUGGAGACUUUUAAUAUGGGCUGUAGUUGGAGUCGAGGUAGUAUUCUUAUGUUGGCAGAAGGUGUCUGGAGCUGUGAAGUUACCCUGCAGCACUUUGACUUUUUUCCUAACUUUCUUUCAGAUGCGGAUGGUUCGACCUCCCGGCAGAGCGCCCCGUCCCAGAUGAGGCGAUCCCCCUGAGAAGGAAGCAAAGCCGGAUAGCAGCAGCGAAGGCGAAGCAUUGUGAAGGCUGCCUCCUGAUGUUGUGCUGAGGCCCCCUCACUGACCUGCCAAGAGACCCGGUUUGCUUCUCCGGUGAGUCCCAGCAAAUGUUACCGGAGUCCGUGACGAAGCCUCGACCUCGUCCACGUGAA